rnacentral:rRNA from 1 species
GAUGAACGCUGGCGGCGUGCCUAAUACAUGCAAGUCGAGCGAACAGACGAGGAGCUUGCUCCUCUGUCGAUAGCGGCGGACGGGUGAGUAACACGUGGAUAACCUACCUAUAAGACUGGGAUAACUUCGGGAAACCGGUGCUAAUCCCGGAUAAUAUAUUGAACCGCAUGGUUCAAUAGUGAAAGACGGUUUUGCUGUCACUUAUAGAUGGAUCCGCUCCUCAUUAGCUAGUUGGUAGGGUAACGGCUUACCAAGGCAACGAUGCGUAGCCGACCUGAGAGGUUGACCGGCCACUCUGGAAUGGGACCCCGGCCCAGACCCCUACGGGCGGCGCCAGUAGGGAUCUUCCCGCAAUGGCCAAAAGCUUGCCGGAGGACCGCGGCGUGGUGGAUGAAGCUCUUCGGUUCUUAAAACUCUUUGAUUGGGGAAAAACAUGUUUGUAAGUGAAUAUGCACGUCUUGACGGUACCUAAUCAGAAAGCCACGGCUAACUACGUG